GCCCGCGUGGCGGAAUUGGUAGACGCCGCGGACUUAAAAUCCGCUGUCCAGUGGACGUCCCGGUUCGAGUCCGGGCGCGGGCACCA
rnacentral:tRNA from 1 species